rnacentral:rRNA from 1 species
GACGAACGCUGGCGGCGUGCCUAAUACAUGCAAGUCGAGCGGGUUUGUUCCUUCGGGGACAAGCUAGCGGCGGACGGGUGAGUAACACGUAGGUAACCUGCCUUCAAGAUCGGGAUAACUUUCGGAAACGAACGCUAAGACCGGAUAGCUGGUUUUCUCGCAUGAGAGAAUCAUGAAACACGGAGCAAUCUGUGGCUUGAAGAUGGGCCUGCGGCGCAUUAGCUAGUUGGUAGGGUAACGGCCUACCAAGGCGACGAUGCGUAGCCGACCUGGGAGGGUGAACGGCCACACUGGGACUGAGACACGGCCCAGACUCCUACGGGAGGCAGCAGUAGGGAAUCUUCCGCAAUGGACGCAAGUCUGACGGAGCAACGCCGCGUGAGUGAUGAAGGUUUUCGGAUCGUAAAGCUCUGUUGCCCUAGACGAACAGCAGGGAGAGUAACUGCUCUCUGUGUGACGGUAUAGGAGAAGAAAGCCCCGGCUAACUACGUGCCAGCAGCCGCAGUAA